CGAGCCGGGCGUGGGGGGGGGGGGGGUACGGGGAUGGAGGGGGGGCGGGUGGAGGCGAGAGCGAGCGGGGCAUGCGCAGUGGGGCGGAGGAGGUGGCGAUGGCCGGGGGAGGCGGGGGGACUGCUGUUUAUUUGCAGCUGGGCCAACUCGGCGGCGCAGGCGGCGGCGGAGCGCGGGGCGCCAGCGGCGGGUCCAGCUGCCGCCGCACCAUGCCCGAGCCCACCUCCGGGCAGCCGCGGCGCUGCUGGCCGGGGCGAGCUGCCUGUGCUACGGCCGCUCCCUGCAGGGCGAAUUCGUGCACGACGACGUGUGGGCGAUCGGGAACAACCCCGACGUGCGGCCCGGCGCCCCCCUCCGCUGGGGCAUCUUCACCAACGACUUCUGGGGCAAGGGCAUGGCCGAGAACACCAGCCACAAGUCCUACCGGCCGCUCUGCGUCCUCAUCCUCAAAUUCGCGAGUGGACGGAGAAGUAAUGAGGCUGGCUUAAGGAGAGUUUCUAUUUCCUGCUGCCCUGCCCGUCCCUUCCAGGCCACCCUCCUCUCCAGGCUGUUCACGCCACUAUGCUCCCUGGUCCUCUGCCCCGCUUUUCUGAGCUUCUGGGGCGGCUCGGAGGCCCGAGCUGGGGAUUUGGGACAGUUUCCCCAAGUGUAUGCGCUCUCGGCGGAUUGUUCUCCCUGGAUAGAGCUGGCGGGCGGGCUGAAGGAGCCUUAAAGUCACCUGCAGGCACUCUGGUCCCCCCCACCCCCUCCCCCGCUCUGCCCAAGUGAACCACAUGAACCGGCCCUAGUACAGCCCGCUUCAGAGGCAUCUAUGGAAGGGGCCAGGGUGAGGGGUUCGCUGUUUUCAGGGUGGUUAAUUUCUUAGCGUCUUGUGGGUAAUUUUGCAAAUGGGGGACCUUUGUGAACCUCUUUGAAGUCUAGUUCCAUCUCUGGAGGAGGUGGUUGGGAUUUGCCAACUGCCUGGGUUUGGGGGAGAAGCAGAGGUGUCAAAAACUGUAGAGUCUGAGAUUUUACCCUUCUUACAAGCAAUUACCUUGCCACAUUUUAUAGAUGCUAGCAGAAGACAGAAGCAGCCUGGGUCAGACGAAAAGUAGUUUAUCACUAUUACUCAAGACAGAAUGGUCAGUAUGAGCCACCUGUUCAGUUGCUUCCCCUUGUCCGCCUUCCCCCCACCUCCCGCAAAGUCCCAUGUGGGUGAUGCAGAGGUGGCCUAAGUGGAUGUUUCACAUAAAGUGGGUCUGUGUCACAACCAGUGAACCCCAGUCUUUAGCAAUCACCCUCCCUACCAACCUUUUUCCCAGAGCUCAGGAAACAAAUCUGGUCUCUGUUCCAAAGGGAGACACUAUCUCAAGUAUUCUUGAGAAGAUAGUCUAGGACAAAAACUGUAACAAGAGGUACUGAAACGACAGGGAGAAUCUCUCUCCAACAGGAAACAGAAGUAUACCCCAAAUCACCUUCUAACCUCGGAUGCCCU
rnacentral:lncRNA from 1 species